UACAGAGGUCUCAAGCGUUGUUCGGAUUCAUUGGGCGUAAAGGGUGCGUAGGUGGCGCCGUAAGUCGGGUGUGAAAUUUCGGAGCUUAACUCCGAAACUGCAUUCGAUACUGCGGUGCUUGAGGACUGGAGAGGAGACUGGAAUUCAUGGUGUAGCAGUGAAAUGCGUAGAGAUCAUGAGGAAGACCAGUGGCGAAGGCGGUUCUCUGGGACGGUACUGACGCUGAGACGCGAAAGCGUGGGGAGCGAACAGG
rnacentral:rRNA from 1 species